rnacentral:misc_RNA from 1 species
AAAGUACAAUCGGAGAUAAGGAGAACAAUGAUGCUUGUGGGAGUGCUAUUGAAAUUGUCAAUGAUCGGGAAAUAAUUCCAAAGAAAAAUUCUGCAGUGAUAAAUGAUAUGGAUGGUGUGGUAACUGGGGUGCCAGUACCAGCAUUGUCUGGAACUGAUGACCAUGAUGCUACUCGGAGUUGUGGAAUUAACGAGGAUAGUGAG